UGUGUAGGCGGUUGUUUAAGUUUGGUGUGAAAUCUCCCGGCUCAACUGGGAGGGUGCGCCGAAUACUGAGCGACUAGAGUGCGGGAGAGGAAAGUGGAAUUCCUGGUGUAGCGGUGAAAUGCGUAGAUAUCAGGAGGAACACCGGUGGUGUAGACGGCUUUCUGGACCGUAACUGACGCUGAGACACGAAAGCGUGGGUAGCAAACAGGAUUAGAUACCCUGGUAGUCCACGCCCUAAACGAUGCAUAUUUGGUGUGGGCAGUUCAUUCUGUCCGUGCCGGAGCUAACGCGUUAAAUAUGCCGCCUGGGGAGUACAGUCGCAAGGCUGAA
rnacentral:rRNA from 1 species